rnacentral:rRNA from 1 species
UACGAAGGGGGCUAGCGUUGUUCGGAUUUACUGGGCGUAAAGCGCACGUAGGCGGUUCGUUAAGUUGGGGGUGAAAUCCUGGAGCUCAACUCCAGAACUGCCUUCAAUACUGGCGAUCUAGAGUCCGGAAGAGGUGAGUGGAACUCCUAGUGUAGAGGUGGAAUUCGUAGAUAUUAGGAAGAACACCAGUGGCGAAGGCGGCUCACUGGUCCGGUACUGACGCUGAGGUGCGAAAGCGUGGGGAGCAAACAGG